rnacentral:rRNA from 1 species
CCUACGGGGGGCAUCAGUGAGGAAUAUUGGUCAAUGGACGAGAGUCUGAACCAGCCAAGUAGCGUGAAGGAUGACUGCCCUAUGGGUUGUAAACUUCUUUUAUAUGGGAAUAAAAUGUUCCACGUGUGGGAUUUUGUAUGUACCAUAUGAAUAAGGAUCGGCUAACUCCGUGCCAGCAGCCGCGGUAAUACGGAGGAUCCGAGCGUUAUCCGGAUUUAUUGGGUUUAAAGGGAGCGUAGGUGGAUUGUUAAGUCAGUUGUGAAAGUUUGCGGCUCAACCGUAAAAUUGCAGUUGAAACUGGCAGUCUUGAGUACAGUAGAGGUGGGCGGAAUUCGUGGUGUAGCGGUGAAAUGCUUAGAUAUCACGAAGAACUCCGAUUGCGAAGGCAGUUCACUGGACUGCAACUGACACUGAGGCUCGAAAGUGUGGGUAUCAAACAGGAUUAGAUACCCCUGUAGUC